AGUAAAAGUCGUAACAAGGUUUCCGUAGGUGAACCUGCGGAAGGAUCAUUAACCUUUCAAAACAGGGUGCGUCGCGGCCCCCGAGGUGCGGAAACAAGCCUCGAGCGGUUUGGGGUCCUCCCCUUCACGCGCGCACGACUGCCAUCCUUACUUUACGAGCACCUUCUGUUCUCCCUCGGCGGGGCAACCUGCCGUUGGAACCGAAUAAACUCUUUUUGCAUCUAGCAUUACCUGUUCCGAAACAAACAAUCGUUACAACUUUCAACAAUGGAUCUCUUGGCUCUGGCAUCGAUGAAGAACGCAGCGAAAUGCGAUAAGUAGUGUGAAUUGCAGAAUUCAGUGAAUCAUCGAAUCUUUGAACGCACAUUGCGCCCCUCGGUAUUCCGUGGGGCAUGCCUGUUCGAGCGUCAUCUACACCCUCAAGCUCUGCUUGGUGUUGGGCGUCUGUCCCGCCUCCGCGCGUGGACUCGCCCCAAAUUCAUUGGCAGCGGUCCUUGCCUCCUCUCGCGCAGCACAUUGCGCUUCUUGAGGGGCUCCGGUUCGCGUCCAACAAGCACAUUUACCGUCUUUGACCUCGGAUCAGGUAGGGAUACCCGCUGAACUUAAGCAUAUCAAUAAGCGGAGGA
rnacentral:rRNA from 1 species